AACGCACGAGACCUGCGGACCUGCGGAAGGAUCACUGUUUGAGUGGGUGGAGUGGGGGGAUUGGUGGAAUGGAUCGGUGGAUUCGUUUCAUCUCAUCUCUCCCUCAUUACCAUUAACACGCUUGAUUGUUUGACUGUCAUUCAUGAUUAUCUAAUACAACUUUUAACAAUGGAUCUCU
rnacentral:misc_RNA from 1 species